GAGAAAUUAGUUAAUUAAUAACUCUACCUUGUCAAGGUAAAAUAAUGAGUUAAAACCUCAUAUUUUUCC
rnacentral:tRNA from 1 species